rnacentral:rRNA from 1 species
AUGGACAAGUACACGAUUCGCAUCCUUGCACUAGCCCUGCUGUCUCUGUAUCUCGUAUGCUCUGCUACUGUUGCUCAAUGCCAAAUCAUGGCUGACACGGACGGCGAGAAGAUCAGUUUGUCAAACGGGCUAUGCACCAAGGUGAAUCGGUUUCGAUGCAGCCGUGCAGGAGAGUGCUUCUGUUGUUUGACAGGGUAUGACUGCUACUUUACAAUGGAUGAGUGCAAGAAAGAGUGUAACAAAUCCUCGGCUUCAGAAGACAUACUAGUGGAGAUGACAUCCCCUCCUUUACCUGCUCCUUAA